UGAAACCUACUUUGUGUUUCAGUCCGAACAGGUCCUGCCACGCACAGACUGGCUGCAAAGCUGGCGGACUUGAGAGCUUCAUUGUCUCGGACAAGUUCCUCUACUCUCAGACGAAGCCUUGAAGCUUCCAGCUGGGACUCUUCAAGCAAGCUGCCUGCAUAGAGAGGGUGCAUCAGUUGCACUAAAUCCUGCAUCAUUAUCUGCAGUUCGUUCACACACACACGGACAACAACACUGCAACUACAAGAGACCUGGAGAACAAUGUUGAAGAAAAUUCCGGCCUUUGUCAACACCUGUCUCAGGGGAAUCUCAAGUGCACACUGGCCGAACACCAUCAGUAAUUUGUAGCUGUGGAAGCAAACAGGACAGUAGCCUGUGGAGGAAGAAAUCCUCAGAAGACAGUGGAGAUGGUUUGCCAUACUCUUUGCAAGCCUGCAUCCAACAGCGCAAGGCAUGCCCUCUUUUGGAAUCCACAAAGAGGCAGACUAACGACCAGCUGGCACUGGGACCAAAUGCAGAUGUGAAAAGGUCUGACCAUAUAUGGAGACAGCUGGAGAAGUUGGCCCAGGACCGUGAUGACUUGAGAGCUCAUGGCCUAUGCCUAAAGUUGGACGGUAGGCACAAGUCACUGGAACAGGACACCGCUUUAGUAAUAGCGCACCACUUUUCCUUCCAUAUGGAACGCCACGGCGCAAAAAGAAGCUGGCAGUGAGCUUUGUGCUGAAGGGGCCGCUU